AUAUUAUAUAAUGACACUUCAAAUUCAAUGCCAUCGAUGAAUGUGCAAUCAUUUACGCAAGGAGUACAAAUUAAAAUACUUCUGCAAAUUUCGCAAAUGCAUGUCUGACUUCAUUUGGAAAACCCUUCUACUGUCAUCUACUCCCACUCUAUUGAAAAUCCAUUCGAGAAGUUAUCCUGCAAGUGACAAAGAUGGUGAUUUAUCGAUGUGGAAGUGAAGCAAUGAAGUUGACUUCGUGGAUAGAUCAUAACCGUGGAAGGCAAUUUUGGAGUUGUUCGCGACGUGGGUUCCUUGGAUGGGUUGACCUUCCGAUGUGUCGUAAGGCAUUGGUGGUGAUUCCAUGUUUUAUAAGAUCAAUGAAUCGACUAGAAGAGAGGGGUGUGACUACACGUGCAGUACUGUGACACUCCCAAAUGAUGUUGCUUUGGUCAUGGGUGUUCUUUUUUGGUUUUAUUUUAAGUAGUAAGGUGAUUGCAGGGUUUGGAUGGUAAUGAGAUGGACGGGUUUGGUUUCAUUUUGUAAGUAUCUAAGUAGUGCAAAGGUUUUUGGAUUGUAAUGGAAUGGGGAGUUUUGGUUUCAUUUUGUUGUAUGCAGGUUUAUGUAACACAUUAAGUCAAUGGAACUGUAAUGGAAUGUAGUUUGUUAUAAAUCAAUGGUUUUGAUGUGCAA